GCCUUAUUAGCUCAGUCGGUAGAGCAUCAGACUCUUAAUCUGAGGGUCGUGGGUUCAAGCCCCACAUAAGGCU
rnacentral:tRNA from 1 species